UUUGGAUACUUCACUUUUUGGGAGCCCCUCUUAAAAUGCCUAAAAAGGUGCCUGAUUUUCAGAACGUGCUGAGCCUCUAACCCCUUUAAGGUGCCUAAAUUUGGGCAUCCAAAAAUUGAGAUGACCCAGAAUCACUACACAAAUGUAGACUGAGAGCAGAACUUGGCCCACAGAAACCGAACCCUAAAAUACGGGCAACAUGUGGGCCUUUCACAUCCCCAACAUAUGUCACAUCUGCACUAGCAGGACGUUAUCAUGUAUACCUCAUGCUAGGAACCCAACCCUAAGACAAGACACAUCUUAUUAUUUGAUUUUAUUUUCCCCCAAGAAACAUCAGUCCUACAUAGAGUGACUUUGCUAGUAUAAAUGUCAGCACUGCGUAAAGAAUUGCAGGCCACAUCCUUCGCUGAUAAGGACUGAUUGAUUUACUGCAGCUAAAAUUCUUGCUCUGAGCUUUUCCCCUAACCUAACUAACCUAUCACCAUAUUUGCUGUUUCGGAGUUCACUCACAGCACACGCUCAAACAUGGCAACUGCACACACACCCCUAUUGUGACUUCCUUUGUGAAGCGUCCUCCUGAAUCCACUGUCGUCUUUAAGAAGCAUUCAGGAUCACUGAGAGUCACUUUGGUUGCAUCAUCCUUCUGACUGAUGGCUGAAAAAAUUACUCAAACCCGUGUGUUAAUUAAACUUUUACUGAUAUUAUUAUGCAAAGAUGUUCUGUGCAAUCAAAUAACACAGACACCCUUGGCUCUUACGGUGGAGAUGGAGAACCAAGCGAAAGUAUUUUGCAAUUAUGCUACUACCUCUGCAAAUCCUGAUUUGUACUGGUAUCGUCAGCUCUCUGACAACACCCUGCAGUUCAUCCUAUACAGGGAUAACUCCCAGUCCCAGGAUGCUGAUUUUGCCAAGGGACGCUUUGCUGUGGAGCAUGAUUUAGCAGGAAAAACCUUCCACUUGCUUAUAUCUCCCAUGGGAAGUGAGGAUGCUGCUUCCUAUCACUGUGCCAUCAGAGGCACCAUGACACAACCUGACUGCAGCGCUGUACAAAAACUUCCUGGAAAGGCCCUGCCUUUGCAAUACGUCUCCUACACCCUCACAUUUCAACGGGCGUUACGCGCCUAAAUGCCUUUGAAACUCUAGCACUAAGUGGCUUCCCAAGGUCUCACACGGGAAGUCUGUGAGAAAACAGGGACCUUCACCAAGGUUUCCCCAGGUCUAGGCGAGUGUCCUAACCAUUGGGCCAUCCUGUCUUUACACACAGUUUGCAGAUGGUUUUUGUACCUCUGUCACUAGACACUGACAGAGCUCAAGGAGUACAACCCGCUUCCGAGUAUGCAGUUACUCUGAUGAGUAAAGAUGCUUUUGUCAGUAUAAGUCAUUCCCAUACAUUUACAAGGAUUUUAGAACCAAUAUAGUAAUAGAGGAACAAAACCCUGUCUCUUGACCAGCCCUUCGAAUUCAGCCUGUGUCUGAAGAAGGAAGGUUUCUUCCAAAGCUCUUGUUCAUUCUAUAAUCUUUGUUCUGGUAACACUGGGUGUUCUCAUUAUCCAUUUACAUGCCCAGGGCUUUUUUCAGUCCUGCUAAUUUCUUGAUCUCGGUGAAAGCUUGUGGCAAGGAGUUCCACAGGCCAAUUGUGCACAGUGUGGCGAAGUAUUUCCUAGUGAAACCUCCUGCCUGAUAGAGGACACAGAUUUUCACCCAUCUAUUACUGCAGUGGAAGGGGAUGUUCUUGCCCAGUAAAUAAGUGAAAAAUAAUAAACCAAGGCUGAGAUACCUAAAA